AUAUGGCUCAGGACGAACGCUGGCGGCGUGCCUAAUACAUGCAAGUCGAACGAACGGAUAAAGAGCUUGCUCUUUUGAAGUUAGUGGCGGACGGGUGAGUAACACGUGGGUAACCUGCCUCACAGCUGGGGAUAACAUCGAGAAAUCGAUGCUAAUACCGAAUGUGCUGAACAUCAUAAGAUGUUCAAGUGAAAGACGGUUUCGGCUGUCACUGUGAGAUGGACCCGCG
rnacentral:rRNA from 1 species